CGGUGUUCGGGGCAUCCCUCGGGCAGUUAACCGCACUUCCGCUGGCUGGGUAUCCGCGGCAAGUUCAGAUCAUUAGUUGGCUGGAGUUAAUUAACCACCAGACAAUUAGCUUAUCUUUUUCCCGAUCCUAAGACCAGCUGGAUUGCAUACAAUGAGUACAUCCAGAUAGUUAAGACCCUUGGAAUCAAGAUUAAGAGAACCAUCAAUUAAGGAGGCAGUGCGCACCUCUCCAGGGAAAUUUACUCCAGUGCUUCAUCCUACCUCAUUGGACACAGCCGACCGUGUUGGUCCUGGUUCCCUCUUCAAAUGCUGGCUCCUGGAAAUAGCAUCAAAGCAAGCAGCUGAUAAGACAAAACUGGGUUGUUGCUUAUGCUAAGGGGAAGCACCACCUUGAAAGAGUCAUUGUAGAGUGGAGGUCGGGAGGGCAAAGUUGAGAUACUGAGGUUUUGGGGUUUGGUUUAAGGCAGGUCCUUUGAUGUCGGACUUAAUCAGGGCUGGGUAAGGAUCAUGUUAUAAUAGUUUAGGAUUGUUGGUCACAGUUUUGUAUUGGUGGUCACAGUGAAGUGAGGGCUUCAAAGACUCUUGGAGCUUUCUUUGAUGCUCCCUGUUGAAGAGCUGUGUGGUUUUAUUAAUGGAUUUUCCUGAACUCAAGGAGUAAGGUUAUUUGCAACUUUUGUGUUUCUGGGCAAGCAUUUCCUGGAAUAAUAAAGUCACAAUAAUAGAGUCAUGUUAUUUUGCUUCAGCAAUUGUGAGUCGGAGUACUCUGCUAUUUGUAUCCAGAGGCACCCUGUUAUGGUUUCCUUGUGUGUAAAAUGGGGAUUAUACUGCAGAGAGAAGGGGAGGAGCUGGGCAUGCUUUGAGAAGACCAAAGUUUCAACGUAUUGUAGGCUUUUGGUAUUACAGCAAUGUAGGGCUUACAAAAAUGUCUGAGUCCUGGAAAAUUAUCCUUACUCUGAAAUAGGAAAUGGAGUUGCCAAGUUGAAUUACAUAGUUGUUUGUUAAAUGUCUCCUAGACAUAAUUAUGUCCACUGGUCCAGUGCAACUCAGAGCACACGGUUGUGGGUCCAUUGCAUUUAUUCUGCAGAGGGAGGUGCAUGCUCAUGUGUUCGAAGCCAUGUGAUGGGGGCUUCAAAGCUGAGAAUGCUCCAGGCUUAUCAAGGUCUUAAAAUGGCCCUGUGACUGGCCUUUCUACUUCCUUUCUGCUUGAGUCCUGGCCUUUCUACUUCCUAGCCAU
rnacentral:lncRNA from 1 species